AGAAGUUGAACAAUCUGGCUGACACCCACUGCCCCUAGUAAGUGGUAGUGUAUGGUACUCAACUCAGGCCUGCUGGGUCCAGGGAGUAGACUGACUAUGCACUAAACUAUGCUGCCUCUUGAUAGAGCCCCAAAGUUUGAGUUGGAAAGGAUUGUGUUGAGCUACUGCUAAGCGUGAGACACAUUUAGGGAUUGAAAUACCAUGCUGUAGACUGUAGUCCUUGUAUUAUGUUCUCCUUCCUAUGACGUGCAUUAUGUAAAUACUUACAAUCACCUGCUAUGUCUAACUACAUGUUUACUAAGCAUCUAUUAUAGACAUGAUAAAUAAAAUGAUGAAUAAGACACACAUAAUUCCUGCCCACGUGGAGCUCACUAUAAACAACUGUUUCAAAAGAGGUUUAGAAGGCCCAUAGAAAGGUGUUAGAAUAGAUACAUAUCUGUGUGUUAUUUAUGUGUGUGUAUGUAUGUGUGUUUUGCAUGAGUACAAAAUGAAGGACUAUUGAACUCAGGGUUCUACCCCUCCUUACCUCUUCUCGGGCCUUACUUCAUCUACUGUUUCAAAAUUUUUCUUCCACCUGAUUUUUCUCAUCAUUACUUAAGCAGCCCAGUUUCUCCCCUCUUUAAAACAAAACAGUACCAAAGACAAAACCUCCUUCCAUGACCCUGCACACUCCCACUGGAGGGCGGGAGAAGUGAGGUAAUAGGGAGCAGUGUCAUGGAAGGAGGGUGCGGGGUCAUGGAAGGAGGGUGCAGUGUCAUGUACGGAGGGUGCAGAGUCAUGGAAGGAGGGUGUAGGGUCAUGGAAGGAGGGUGCAGGGUCAUGGAAGGAGGGUGCAGUGUCAUGGAAGGAGGUGUAGGGUCAUGGAAGGAGGGUGUAGGGUCAUGGAAGGAGAGUGUAGGGUCAUGGAAGGAGGGUGUAGGGUCAUGGAAGGAGGUGCAGGGUCAUGGAAGGAGGCUUUCUCUUUGGUAUUGUUGUGUUUGAAAGAGGGAUAAACUUGGAUGUGUAUUUCCCACCUAAGCCUCUGGAGAGCACAUCUCAUCCUGAUUCUUCACGGUCCUUUGGUCUUCAAUGCCAUCAGUCUACCCCUGCGGGUGCUGCUAGUUUGUGGAGACAACAGCAGUGUUGCAGCACUGAAAGCAUGCUCCUCGGGCUUCACCUUCCUCAUUCUCAGCAUCCCAUGACCUAGCUGGACAUGCCUUCAUUCUUCUUGCCAGUGUUUCUUCUCCAUUUCUUCCCAUGACUUCUUGGUCUUACUCAGGGUCUUUUGUUUUCAACCGGUCUCUCAGGAUACUAUCCUAGAAGUUCUCUCUCAACAUACUCUCCAUAGGCAUCAUCUCACUCCAGGAUGACCCUAUCAAGUCUCUAUCUUCAGCCUGUAUGAUUCAGUUCCAAAUGUUCAACUGUCCACUGGACGUUUCCAUGUAGACAUCUGAGAGGACACCUCAAACUUCACAUAUUCCAAGUUAAAUUCAUUAUCUGCACCCUUUGUUUUGUUUACUCUGUUCCCUAAAUCAGUGAGUAACACCUAUAUCUAAGAAGUUGUGAAUUAUCCUGGAAUACUUUUUUCACUUUAUCCCCCACAUCAAACCAGUUGCAAAUUUUACCUCCUGAAUUUUCUCCUUACCUCUCCACCAUUGUAUGGUGGAGACUCCUGUACUAACACAGCUUCCUAAAUGCUCUUCUGCUCUUCUGGCCACCAAUAUUGUUCCCACCAAAACUAAUUUUCUUGCACCAGCUGGAAAUUUGUAUCCUAAAGGGCAAAUUGUUCAUGAGCAAUUGCAAGCCCUUUAUCUUGACUUGUGAAACCAUUUCUUAUCUAUACCUGGCUUACAUGGCUUACCCCUCUGUCCUGCCUCCCCUCAUUUUUUUUCCUUUUGAAACAAAGUCUCACUCUGUCACCUAGGCUGGAGUACAGUGUUUCGAUCUCAGCUCACUGCAACCUUGGCCUCCCAGGCUCAAGUGAUUCUUGUGGCUCAGCCUCCCAAGUAGCUGGGACUACAUGCAUGUGCCACCAUGCCCGGUUAAUUUUCUUUGUAUUUUUAGUGUAGAUGGGGUUUUGUCAUGUUGGCCAGACUGGUCUCGAACUCUUGGCCUCAAGUAAUCCAACUCCCUCGGCUUCCCAAAGUGCUGGGAUUACAGGUGUGACUCAUCAUGCCCGGCCCCAUCUCUCCUCAUUCUUCUCUGCAAUCAUAGUGAUCCUAUUUAUCUUUUGUUCAGCCCUGCUCUUUCUUUUGCACAGAGGCUUUUCUCUUUUAUAACCCUUGCUUCUUCCUUCCACACCCCAUGAUCUUGCUCACUUCUAUGCAUCCUCACUUCUCAUCUUAGCUCCCAUUUCUCUAGAAGGAAUCCCCACUUUUCUCCCAGCCAGCUUGAAUUAAGUGACUCAUCCCUAU
ensembl:lncRNA